UGGGGAAUAUUGCACAAUGGGCGAAAGCCUGAUGCAGCAACGCCGCGUGAGUGAUGAAGGCCUUCGGGUUGUAAAGCUCUGUCUUCUGGGACGAUAAUGACGGUACCAGAGGAGGAAGCCACGGCUAACUACGUGCCAGCAGCCGCGGUAAUACGUAGGUGGCAAGCGUUGUCCGGAUUUACUGGGCGUAAAGGAUGCGUAGGCGGAUACUUAAGUCAGAUGUGAAAAUCCCGGGCUUAACUUGGGAACUGCAUUUGAAACUGGGUAUCUGGAGUGCGGGAGAGGAAAGUGGAAUUCCUAGUGUAGCGGUGAAGUUCGUAGAGAUUAGGAAGAACACCAGUGGCGAAGGCGACUUUCUGGACCGUAACUGACGCUGAGGCAUGAAAGCGUGGGGAGC
rnacentral:rRNA from 1 species